GCAACCUUUAAAUAAAGUCCUGUGAGGCUUUCAAGGGGUCAAGUGAAACCAUGCGAAUGGUUUGUUUACUAUAUCUUCAAUUUACUUGUAGUGUCGUAAAGCGCUUAGCCCUCGGGCUAAGCGCUUUUUUUU
rfam:Aerococcus viridans ATCC 11563 = CCTG 4311 strain ATCC 11563 contig00120, whole genome shotgun sequence.